CCUACGGGAGGCAGCAGUGAGGAAUAUUGGUCAAUGGACGGAAGUCUGAACCAGCCAUGCCGCGUGCAGGAAGACGGCGCUAUGAGUUGUAAACUGCUUUUGUACAAGGGUAAACCGGAAUACGUGUAUGCAGCUGAAAGUACUGUACGAAUAAGGAUCGGCUAACUCCGUGCCAGCAGCCGCGGUAAUACGGAGGAUCCAAGCGUUAUCCGGAUUUAUUGGGUUUAAAGGGGGCGUAGGCGGAUUGAUAAGUUAGAGGUGAAAUGUCCGCGCUUAACGCGGGAACUGCCUCUAAUACUGUUGUUCUAGAGCGUAGCUGCGGUAGGCGGAAUGUAUGGUGUAGCGG
rnacentral:rRNA from 1 species